GUGAGGGAGACGGGGACACCGAGGCCGAUGGAGGUGAGGGAGACGGGGACACCGAGGCCGCUGGAGGUGAGGGAGACGGGGACACCGAGGCCGAUGGAGGUGAGGGAGACGGGGACACCGAGGCCGCUGGAGGUGAGGGAGACGGGGACACCGAGGCCGAUGGAGGAGAGGGAGACGGGGACACCGAGGCCGCGGGAGGUGAGGGAGACGGGGACACCGAGGCCGCUGGAGGUGAGGGAGACGGGGACACCGAGGCCG